AACGGAUUAUUCUUUAUAGCUUGCUACGAAAAUAAUUAGUGGCAGACGGGUGAGUAAUGCAUAGGAAUCUACCUAGUAGUAUAGGAUAGCCACUAGAAAUGGUGGGUAAUACUGUAUAAUCCCUGCGGGGGAAAGAUUUAUCGCUACAUGAUGAGCCUAUGUUAGAUUAGCUAGUUGGUAGGGUAAAGGCCUACCAAGGCGAUGAUCUAUAGCUGGUCUGAGAGGAUGAUCAGCCACACUGGAACUGAGAUACGGUCCAGACUCCUACGGGAGGCAGCAGUGGGGAAUAUUGGACAAUGGGCGCAAGCCUGAUCCAGCUAUGCCGCGUGAGUGAGGAAGGCCUUAGGGUUGUAAAACUCUUCCAGUAGGGAAGAUAAUGACGGUACCUACAGAAGAAGUCCCGGCAAACUCCGUGCCAGCAGCCGCGGUAAUACGGAGGGGGCAAGCGUUGUUCGGAAUUAUUGGGCGUAAAGGGCAUGUAGGCGGUUCGGUAAGUUAAAGGUGAAAUGCCAGGGCUUAACCCUGGAGCUGCUUUUAAUACUGCC
rnacentral:rRNA from 1 species